rnacentral:lncRNA from 1 species
GAGCGUUUCCAGCCGUUCCCCGCCCCAACUACAUUUCCCAGGGGCCACUGCGGCCCGAUUCAGUCUGGUGACGUAGCGGCGUCGGUGGCUAGCGUUUCUCAGCGUGAGGCAAGACUUGUUCCUCAGUCUUACAGCAACUGACAAGUGGUGCCCGAACAGGGACCUGAGGACGUGGGCUGUUGAGAGGGACCCCGGAAAUAUUUCGUGCGCAGACAUAUACAGGGGACACUAAGGAUCCUCGUUGGAUACCUGAGCACCUCGUGAGAUUCUAUGGAUUCGGACCAGAUGGUGAAUUCCCUCCCCUGCAAUAUGGAUCUGGACCGGAUAGUGAACUCUCUCCCCUGCCAUAUGAAGAGAAUGCGGCUCGACGACACUCCCAAUCCUCCCAAGAAACCAACUCUCCAAGCUCGUCAGUGUCGUCUCUCCUGCACCACGCGGAUGGCCAACCCUCCAACUUGGGCCAAUUGAAACGACUGACCCAGAAGGUGGAGGAGAUGUUGAUGCAGCAGCAAGUGACUAAGUCCCCACAAACAUUGUUUGUGGCUAUGUUGGCUGUUAUUUUUUGUCAGGUAGUUUUGGGUAAUACUGAUGCUUAUUGGGCAUAUGUCCCUGAUCCUCCUUUACUUCACCCUGUAGAAUGAAAUUAUCCCUCAAUUCCUGUUUAUGUUAAUGAUACUUCCCUUCUUGGCUAUCCAAGCAGUGGUUUUAUUACCCCUCUCACUGUAACUCGUUUUUCAUAUACUGCCUUUUCUUUGCGUGCCCCUGUCUGUUUUUCCAUUCCUGCGUUUUGGUAUAACCAACACGAACGAUACCGGCAUGGAUGUCUUUCAGUAGGACCCAGGCCUUCUUAUACAUAUCAGUUCCAGUAUCGGAAUGAAACGUUGUCUCGCA